GCUUGUAAGGGUUUUAAGCGCUCCAGCCAUGGGCACCAACCCGAUCUUCCAGCCCCUGCGGACGGACCGCCCCCCCCCCGGGGGGGAUUGGCUGCUCUGGGACCCUGAGCCCAGAGGGCGGUGAGAAGCUGACAAACAGAACCAGUUCCAGAGCAAAGAGGAGGAUUCAACUCCCAUCAAGGAAGAACAGCCAAGAGCCGAGCGUAUAUUAUGGACCUGAGAUCCCUGCACUGAGAAGCUCCUAGAAGCAGGAGACUGAGAUAGAGAGAGGAAGCUGUAACCCUGAAGAUGCUUAAAUACAGACCAGAAGAGGAGUUUGGGGCUUGACACCUGACAUCUUAACACCAGUUCCUGUUUCUUGAGGAAGGAAGAGGUAAAAUAAAUCAGCGUUUACUGUUUCCUUCUCCAUCCCCGGAAGUCCUGAUGAAGACCCUCUCAGCUUCAACUUGAACGUGAAUAUGAGCAACUGAUCAUCUGUUCUGCAGUCAGCCCCUGGCCUGAUUCUGACUCAUGAUAUUGACCUUCUCCAUCAUCACCUUCCACAAAUUUGUUUUCUGUCUAUUCUGCCUGGAGUGGUUCACGAGUAUAGUCACCGUUUAUGUUCCUGACGAAAGAGAACCAGUUCCAGAGCAAAGAGGAGGAUUCAACUCCCAUCAAGGAAGAACAGCCAAGAGCCGAGCGUAUAUUAUGGACCUGAGAUCCCUGCACUGAGAAGCUCCUAGAAGCAGGAGACUGAGAUAGAGAGAGGAAGCUGUAACCCUGAAGAUGCUUAAAUACAGACCAGAAGAGGAGUUUGGGGCUUGACACCUGACAUCUUAACACCAGUUCCUGUUUCUUGAGGAAGGAAGAGGUAAAAUAAAUCAGCGUUUACUGUUUCCUUCUCCAUCCCCGGAAGUCCUGAUGAAGACCCUCUCAGCUUCAACUUGAACGUGAGUAUGAGCAACUGAUCAUCUGUUCUGCAGUCAGCCCCUGGCCUGAUUCUGACUCAUGAUAUUGACCUUCUCCAUCAUCACCUUCCACAAAUUUGUUUUCUGUCUAUUCUGCCUGGAGUGGUUCACGAGUAUAGUCACCGUUUAUGUUCCUGACGAAAGGAGGGAAGAGGUAAAAAGAAGGCAGUGUCUACUAUGUUCUUUUCCGCGUGUUUAGGAAAUCCUCACGAAGACGCUCUCAGUUCCCAUGUUUUCUGCUUUCCUGAAAUACGGGUGAAAUUCCAAGUCUACCUCCUGAAGCACUUCCAUUAGCGUCUCGUUUGGGAGAAGUCUGGUGGCGAUGAAUUCUCUCAGUUUUCCUUCGCUAAGAAUGGCACUAUUUUUUCUUUACUCCUGAAGGUAAUGAUUGGAUAUAGAAAUCUGGGGUAAUGUUUCUGAUCUUCAGUGUUGAAAAAAUGUUUUUUCACAACAUUUCAGCCUCUGUGGUUUUCUGAUAAUGAAGAAAGAGUCAGUGAAAUUAUUUUUCCCAUGUGAAAUCUAUUGUUUUCUCUCUAGCUUAUUUCUGGGUAUUUUCUUGAUCUUUGUUAUUCUGCAGUUGAUUAUGAUGUACUGUAUUUUUGUGCAAAUAGUGCACACAUUAUACAUAUUUUUUGCCAACUGAGCC